UAAGGAAGGCAGCAGGCGCGCAAAUUACCCACUCCCGGCACGGGGAGGUAGUGACGAUAUAUACCGAUACGGGACUCCUCGGAGAACCCGUGAUCGGAAUGAGAACGGUCCAAAUACCUUAUCGAGGACCAAUUGGAGGGCAAGCCUGGUGCCAGCAGCCGCGGUAACUCCAGCUCCGAUAGCAUGAAUUAGAGUUGUUGCGGUUAAAAAGCUCGUAGUUGGAUCUGCGUUCUCGGUCGGGGGCCUGUCUGGCGACGGCCCGCUGCCGGAACAACCGGCCGGUCUUCCUUAGGGGCGAUUGUCAAAGGUUGUCCCGGGUUUACCGGCUACUUUACCUUGAAUAAAUUAGAGUGCUCAAAGCGGGCUCACAGGAGCCAUAACAGCGGUGCAUGGCAUAACGUUAUAGGACCUCGGUUCUAUUUUGUUGGUUUUAGGAUCACGAGGUGACGAUCGAGAGGAGCGGACGGGGGCAUUCGUACUGCGGCGCUAGAGGUGAAAUUCUUGGACCGUUGCAUGACGAACAACUGCAAAGGCAUUUGCCAAGGAUGCUUCCAUUGAUCAAGAACGAAAGUCAGAGGCUCGAAGGCGAUCAGAUACCGCCCUAGUUCUGACCGUAAACUAUGCCAGCCAGCAAUCCGACGUCGUUCAUGAAAUGACGCGUCGGGCAGCUUCCGGGAAACCAAAGCUUUUGGGUUCCGGGGGGAGU
rnacentral:rRNA from 1 species